UUUUCACCGUAGCUCUAUCCCACAGCUGCAGUAGUGUUUCUUCUCUCGUCUCUCCCCCUCCCCACUCCCGCACCUCUCCGCACGGCACCCGAACCCUUCAACCCUUCACGCGCGCGCCCCUCCCCUCUCCGCUUCGAUCCGAAUGGAGGCCGGGCGUGGCGGCGGGAGGCUGCCGAAGAUGGAGUCGGCGGAGAUGCGGUGGGUGGUCCCGGGGGGCGCCUACGACGAGGACGAGAUCGAGAGCGCAGACGACGACGACGGCGGCGGCGCCGACACCCCUGCGGCCGCCUCGGGCUCCCACAGCGGCGGGUGCUCGGACGAGGACAACUACGAGGAGGACGAGAUGCUGCGCCAGCGCCUCGUGCGCACGGGCCCGCGCGCCGACUCCUUCGACGUCGAGGCGCUCGAUGUCCCCGGCGUGUAUCGCCACCAGGAAUUUACCUUAGGCAGGAGUAUUGUGCUAACUCUUCAGACGCUAGGCGUUGUCUUUGGGGAUGUUGGUACAAGCCCGCUGUAUACCUUUGAUAUAAUGCUCAACAAAUACCCUAUUACUUCAAAGGAGGAUGUGCUUGGAGCACUCUCACUUGUAAUAUACACUCUCAUUCUAAUACCAUUUCUGAAGUAUACUCUGAUUGUUUUGCGGGGAAACGAUGAUGGAGAAGGAGGGAUGUUUGCUUUAUACUCACUAAUAUGCAGAAAUGCAAAGGCAAGUCUGCUUCCUAACCAACUACCUUCUGAUACCCGUAUAUCAAGUUUCCAUCUGAAGGUGCCUUCGGUAGAACUUGAGAGGUCUUUGAAGAUCAAGGAGCGUCUUGAGACUUCAUCUAUGCUAAGGAAACUGCUUUUGAUGCUUGUUCUAUUUGGUACUUCUAUGGUCAUAGCAGAUGGUGUUGUCACACCGGCAAUGUCAGUGAUGUCUGCCGUUAAUGGCUUGAAGGUUGGAAUAUCUAGUGUUAAUGAAGGUGAAGUAGUCAUGAUAACUGUUGCAUUUCUUAUUGUUCUGUUCAGUCUACAAUGUUUUGGAACGAGCAAAGUGGGGCUUGCUGUUGGGCCUGCGUUGUUCAUAUGGUUUUGCUGCCUUGCUGGGAUAGGAAUUUAUAACAUCAGGACAUUUGGUUCAGAAGUAUUACAUGCAUUCAAUCCUGUGUAUGUAUACUAUUAUUUUGAAAGAAAUUCCACUCAAGCUUGGAUGUCCCUUGGAGGCUGCCUUUUAUGCGCAACAGGAUCUGAAGCAAUGUUUGCUGAUUUAUGCUACUUCUCUGUUAGAUCUGUUCAGCUUACCUUUGCGUGUCUUGUUCUUCCAUGUCUUCUACUGGGAUAUCUAGGGCAAGCUGCAUUUCUUAUGGAAAAUUUAACUGAAAAUCAGCAUGUCUUCUUUUUGUCUAUCCCAAGUCAGGCAUUUUGGCCAGUGGUAUUCAUAGCUACUCUUGCAGCACUAAUUGCUAGUCGUGCAAUGACAACUGCUAUAUUCUCAACUAUAAAGCAGGCAACAGCUCUUGGCUGCUUUCCACGCCUCAAAAUUAUUCACACCUCUAGAAAGUUCAUGGGUCAAAUAUACAUCCCGGUGAUGAACUGGUUUUUGCUGGUUUCUUGUCUGGCAUUUGUUACGGUAUUUGGGAGCAUAAACGAGAUUGGCAAUGCAUAUGGCAUAGCUGAACUUGGGGUCAUGAUGAUGACUACUGUCCUGAUAACCAUUAUAAUGCUUCUGAUAUGGCAGGUCAACAUCAUUGUAGUUCUAUGCUUUCUCACCCUCUUCCUGGGGCUCGAGUUAUUUUUCUUUUCCUCAGUUUUGGGAAGUGGAGCAGAUGGAAGUUGGGUUCUUUUGGUAUUUGCAGCUGUACUGUAUUUGGUAAUGCACAUAUGGAACUAUGGAACCAAGUUGAAGUACGAAACUGAGGUCAAGCAAAAACUUUCGAUGGAUUUGUUGAUGCAACUAGGCUGCAAUCUUGGUACAGUGAGAGCACCUGGAAUCGGAUUGCUUUACAAUGAACUGGUGAGGGGAGUUCCUGCAAUCUUUGGUCACUUCCUCACCACACUGCCAGCCAUUCAUUCAAUGAUCAUUUUUGUCUGCAUCAAAUGGGUCCCAGUUCCUGUUGUGCCUCAGAAUGAGAGGUUUCUCUUUCGUCGGGUCUACCCAGAGAGCUACCAUAUGUUCCGCUGCAUUGCUAGGUAUGGGUACAAGGAUGUGCGCAAGGAGAACCCCCAAGCAUUCGAACAGCUUCUGAUAGAAAGCCUUGAGAAGUAUAUACGCCGAGAUGCUCAAGAACGCUCCCUAGAGAGCGAUCAUAAUGAUGACACAGACUCUGAAGAGGAGGUCGCGUCUGCGUCAUCUAGAGUUAUAGUUGGUCCAAACGGUAGCAUCUACUCUCUUGGUGUUCCACUACUUGCUGAGUCUGCCAGUGCUGGUAACUCAACCCUGGGAUCAGGCAUGUCAUUUGAUGGAUCUCUGGAUGAGGCAAUGGACGGAAGGCGAAGCCUAGACAACGAACUCUCUUUCAUUCACAAGGCCAAGGAGUCAGGCGUGGUGUACCUUCUUGGACACGGCGACAUAAGAGCUCGGAAGGAGUCGUUCUUUGUCAAGAAGCUCGUGAUAAACUAUUUCUACGCGUUCUUGAGGAAGAACUGCAGGAGGGGCAUAGCAACAUUGAGUAUACCGCACACAAGGCUGAUGCUGGUGGCGAUGCAAUACAUGGUUUAGGGUUUUCUACACCCCCUUUUUUCCCCUUCGAUGGACAUGAUACUAACUCGCGGCUGUAGAUACCGAGAAUGAACAGGCACUGCUAUUGAUUGCCCAGCUGCACCAAUCAGGAGUAAGGUCGGCUCCCUGCACGGCCGCGUACCUGCUGCAGAUCGACUGGGGUAAGAUCCAUGCUCUUCAAUACCGAUCACUACGCGUGCUGGCCAAACAGCUUAAUCGAUCGCCCAGUGCCGUAGUCUUCUCUGGCAGCAGGUACCGACUGGAGCCUGAUGAGGAGCGUAGUCGGUGGACAGCAAGAGCAGAUAGUAGCCUCUUAUGUUGCACCAGGGUCUGUUUGGUAAAGUUUUUAGAGUAGUUUUUUUAAAAAAA